UAUUUUCGGGGAAACAGGGUACAUGCUAAUGGGUAGGGAUAAUAAAAUCACAUGUGCAAUGGCUCUUUUGUUCAUUAAUUUGUAAACAUAAAAAGAGACACCUGACAGUCACACAGUAAAGGAUGGGAUGCUCUUAAAUACGAUACAGUUUUAAUGUUUAGAUUAAUAUGCUGAAAGUCAGAGUUUUAAGUAGGGCUAACAUAUCUCUUUUUAAAAAAUAUUUUAUUUUUGCAUUUUUAAAAUAUGAUGAACUUUACAAAUACUGUCUUGCAAAGUAUAACAAAACAAAUUUUAACAUAGUUGUCUUAGCUAGACUUUCCACAUUGUCCAAUCUUGAUACCAUUAUUCUUAAUCAUAUUAUUACUUAUUAUUUAUUAUUAUUAUAACUUAUUGUCCUCAAUAGUAUCAUAUCUACAUCUAAAUUAUCAAGAAUUUCAUUAUCGUAUAUUGUAUUUACAAGUUUAUCUUUAGCGUAUACAAGAAAAAGAUGGAAGAGAAAAAAAGAAGAAAAACAGAAGAGAGCAAAGAAAAAAGAGUAAAGAAGAGAAUGAAGAAAGAAAAAGGGAUUUCUGACGAUCUCCACUUUGCUGCUAGAAGUGUUCUCGCUGCCAUGGUCAAAUAGAAAAAUAAUCGUUGGUUAUUUAGCAGAAAGGAGAUGUCUGCCAUUGUCGGACUUAGAAGCUAAACCAGGGAAGAAAACAGGAAUGGAAAAUAAUUAUAGAAAUGGAUUGGAGAAAUUAGAGAGUCUCAUUUACAUUCAAAGGAUGUCCAAUCUUGGAAACAACUUCACCAUUCUUUCUCUUUGAGUUGAAACACCAUCAGAAAGAGCAGCUGUUCUCAACCAUGUAUCAUCUCAGAAGGACUGCAGCCUCCCACAAAGUCCACAGAUUCCCCCAGAUCUCCAUCUAAAAGGAUGUCAGGGGCCUGGGAAGCAGCCCUGCUAGAGAGCCACUGCCACUCAGGGUGGGCAGUGAACAAGUGAUCUGACUUGGUAGAAGGAAGCAGGCUGUUUUCAUAGGUUUCAGAUCUACAGCUACCAUUUCCACAUUCACAUCUCAUUCAAUCUCUGAGGAAGAGGUCAAACUGUGACGAUAAUCCUCAUAAAAAUCCACCCGCGCUUAAAAGGAAGCACAGGCAAAGUACAAUCCCAAGAGACAUGUAGUAGCUACCUGCCAGUUCCUCCUCUUCAUCAAAGAUCCCGAUAAACACCUCUUCUUCCUCUUCUAGUUGGGCAAUGAGCUCAGGCUUAGUGAUCGGAGGACCUGGUAAUCAGGAGAAAAAAACCCCAACCACCACCAAAAUUAUCCUGAGUGCAAAUAAAUUCCCCAAGUGAGGUUGACAACACAUCCAGAAAUACACAACGGGAAAGUAAGGAAUGGAAUGGAAGACAGUACAGGACCAAGAAUCAUCCAUCCAGAAUUAGCAUUUUUUGGCACUCCCUGCCAAACUGAGAUGAAAAUGCCAGCUGUAAACUAAAGAAUUGGUAAAGUUCCCUGUACAGCAACCUGUCAGUCCAGGUAAGGCAAGACCCAGACCGGACAUUUCCUUGAC